rnacentral:lncRNA from 14 species
AUUGUUACUGCUUAGCCUGCAGCACCGCUACCGGCAGCAUCAGCCUUUCCCGUAGCGUUCUUUGCUAUUGCUCGCAGCACACCGGUGCUGCUGCCGCCGCGGCCAGGGAAGCCGGGAGACGCGGGACGCCCCGCCGGGCGGCUGUUCAUCUGGGAGGGGCUUUUGCACCACCGGCAUCUGGGCGUUUCGGGCUGAAGCAGUUGUGUGUCCACAGAGCGGGGAGGAGGGGUCCUGCCCUUAUUCCCUGUCGAGCUCUAGGAGUUUCUGCAGAGCAGAGCCGUUCCCAGCGGAGAAGCGGUGGGACAACCUCGAACUUCCCUCUCACCUGCUCGGCCGAGGUGUGAGGAGCACCUCGGGGAAGCAGAACGCCCCCCUCGCCCUCUCCCUGGUGCCCUUCCGACAGCUCCCGGGCUCUAUCAAUUUCUCUCCAGGGCCCAGGAACGACUGCACAGCCCCGGACAGAUCCUUGCUAACGGCGGGGUUAGCAGCCCCUCAUCGAGGCUGGACGCUCUUUGCAGAGCUCCGGCGAUGCUGAACGACUGGGGAAGGGGACAGUGCCUGCUGGACGAGACGCCUCGCAAAGGCGGCCUCUGGUUUUAGGCCCUUUUGGCGUGCAGGAGAGGGGAUAACGCCGUUUACAGCACUGCGCCGUGCCACCCGCUCCCUCGGCUUUGCUCUGCCGCUGUCGGGUUCCCCCGUCGCGGGGCAGCCAGGGCUGGUUUCGCUAUCCCGUCGUCUCAGUUCUGUUCAGAGCUGCUUACACGUGGGGGUGCGGGAGCGGGCCAGCGGGGUCUUAGGGGUCAUGGGGCCGCAGGGCAGGCUGGCAGCGAUUCCCGGAGACCGCUAAUUCGCGACCCCGCCGGGCAGGCCGAGGGGCUCGUCCGUGCCCAGGCUGAACUCGACGUAUCGCUGCUUCCAGCGCUGCUUCCAGCGGCUUUAUCUAAGGAGCAGGGAAGGAGAAAGGGAUAAAGCCAGGAAACGAUGCGGGCAAUAAAGUCAAGGGCAGCAACCUCGACUCUGCUGGG